AGUUCAGAUUGCAGGCUGCAACUCGCCUGCAUGAAGUUGGAAUUGCUAGUAAUCGCGAAUCAGAAUGUCGCGGUGAAUACGUUCCCGGGCCUUGUACACACCGCCCGUCACACCAUGAGAGUCGAUAACACCCGAAGCCUGUGAGCUAACCGCAAGGGGCAGCAGUCGAAGGUGGGGUUGAUGAGUUGGGGUGAAGUCGUAACAAGGUACC
rnacentral:rRNA from 1 species